rnacentral:rRNA from 1 species
UACAGAGGGGGCAAGCGUUGUUCGGAAUUACUGGGCGUAAAGGGCGCGUAGGCGGCCUUCUAAGUCGAACGUGAAAUCCCUGGGCUCAACCCAGGAACUGCGUCCGAUACUGGAAGGCUUGAAUCCGGGAGAGGGAUGCGGAAUUCCAGGUGUAGCGGUGAAAUGCGUAGAUAUCUGGAGGAACACCGGUGGCGAAGGCGGCAUCCUGGACCGACACUGACGCUGAGGAGCGAAAGCCAGGGGAGCAAGCGGG